rnacentral:piRNA from 1 species
UGGUUCCUUACUUGUAUGUUGGGUAA